rnacentral:rRNA from 2 species
CAACAGGGAUUCCCCUAGUAACGGCGAGUGAAGCGGGAACAGCUCAAAUUUGAAAUCUGGCCCUUGGGUCCGAGUUGUAAUUUGCAGAGGAUGCUUUUGGUGCGGUGCCUUCCGAGUUCCCUGGAACGGGACGCCUUAGAGGGUGAGAGCCCCGUACGGUUGGCCACCAAGCCUGUGUAAAGCUCCUUCGACGAGUCGAGUAGUUUGGGAAUGCUGCUCAAAAUGGGAGGUAUAUUUCUUCUAAAGCUAAAUACUGGCCAGAGACCGAUAGCGCACAAGUAGAGUGAUCGAAAGAUGAAAAGCACUUUGAAAAGAGGGUUAAAUAGCACGUGAAAUUGUUGAAAGGGAAGGAUUUAUGACCAGACUUUUUCUGGGGGGAUCAUCCGGUGUUCUCACCGGUGCACUUCCCCCAGUUGAGGCCAGCAUCGGUUUCUGCCGGGGGAUAAAAGCUUUGGGAAUGUGGCUCCUUCGGGAGUGUUAUAGCCCGUUGCAUAAUACCCUGGCGGGGACCGAGGUUCGCGCAUUGCAAGGAUGCUGGCGUAAUGGUUAUUAAUCACCCGUCUUGAAACACGGACCAAGGAGUCGAACAUUUGUGCGAGUGUUUGGGUGUUAAACCCUCACGCGUAAUGAAAGUGAACGGAGGUGAGAGCCUUUAGGGGUGCAUCAUCGACCGAUCCUGAUGUCUUCGGAUGGAUUUGAGUAAGAGCAUAACUGUUCGGACCCGAAAGAUGGUGAACUAUGCGUGGAUAGGGUGAAGCCAGAGGAAACUCUGGUGGAGGCUCGCAGCGGUUCUGACGUGCAAAUCGAUCGUCAAAUCUGCGCAUGGGGGCGAAAGACU